rnacentral:rRNA from 1 species
GACGAACGCUGGCGGCGUGCUUAACACAUGCAAGUCGAGCGGUAAGGCCCUUUCGGGGGUACGACGAGCGGCGAACGGGUGAGUAACACGUGGGUGACCUGCCUUUAGCUCUGGGAUAAGCCUGGGAAACUGGGUCUAAUACCGGAUACGACUCCGCGGUGCAUGCUGUGGGGUGGAAAGCCUUGUGCGGCUGGAGAUGGG